ACAGAGGGCCGGCCGCUGGCAACAUCGGUCCAAUCCUUAAAGUCAUCCUCAGUUCGGACUGGGGUCUGCAACCCGACCCCGUGAAGCUGGAUUCGCUAGUAAUCGCGCAUCAGCCAUGGCGCGGUGAAUACGUUCCCGGGCCUUGUACACACCGCCCGUCAAGCCAUGGGAGCCGGGAGCGCUUGAAGUGCGUCGCCGCGAGGCGCGCCCUAGAGCGAGACCGGUGACUGGGGCUAAGUCGUAACAAGGUAGC
rnacentral:rRNA from 1 species